rnacentral:lncRNA from 1 species
UCUUCUACUUUUAUUAAGAGUGAGUCAUGUAUGUAAAAAAUGUAAAAAAUAUAUUCUUUAUUUGUAAACAAUUCUAUAUAAACAUUUAUCACAGAGUACAAUAGGACGGUAUGAUUCUUUACAACAAAGCUGUGAAAAUCACUAAAUAAAUUAUAUUGUUAUAUUUACAAUUAUUUACAGCAUAAUACUUCAUAAAUCACCAUAGCAACAAAGACUAAAAAAAGGAAAUAAAUAGAAAGUUAAAAUAAAUAUAAAUCUAAUGUGAUUGAUAAGUAAUAAUUGUUAAAUUAAAAAAUAUACCAAAGUUAACGGCAUCAUACAAUUUUCAUACUUUAAUUUGAUAUCCAAGCAUAAUUUAAUCUUUGAUGUUUGAAGAAAUGUCAAACCAAGAUUCAGGUUAAAAUAAACAGAAUGGAAAGGAAAUAUGUACUUUUUAAGAACAGAACUCAUGUCCCAAUCUUUCUUAAUAAGAUAUGUUACAAUUUCAUAAAUAGAUAUCAAUUUGCUUGAACUAUAAAAUUUGAGCUUAUUUUGAUCAAAAGUUUGCGCAUUUUGUUGGCAUACCAUUGAAUAAACAGACUAGCAUUGAGCAAUGAAAUAUAUGUAUGAGAAAUAUAAUUUAUCUUAUCUACCCUUAACCAAAGGGGAAAUAAUAACUAACCUCCAACAUAAUUAUUUUCACUUUAUAAUUAGUUAACAGGGCCUCAAGUCUACUACAUGAAUUAAAUACUAAAUAUAGAAUGACAGCAUUUUAAUGUUUUUGAAAAAUAUUAAAGUUAAAAGAUCACUUGAACUAAUGUAAUAAUUUGUGCCUACAAGCAUGUAGAAAGUCAAACUAGACUAGAAAAUCUAAAAUAAUUACUCCAAAUCAUUGUCAUGGCAACAUGAAACUGUAAACCAAUCAAAUUCACUAGAUAUGUCAAGUACCAGUUAUAAUUUUGUCUCAGAUUGGGUAAGAACAUGUUAUUGGUUUACAAUAAUACAAUAUAAUUACAUCACAAUCUAAUGAUUUCCCACAUUUAUUAAAAACACAUUUUAAAAAUAUUUACAGUGAAUAUACAUUAGUUUGAAAGACUUUGAUUUGGCAUUAAAAUGCUACAACUUAUAUACAAGAUAGAACCAUCUAAGCGACUAAAAAAUCAACAAGCUAAACAAAGCUUUAUAAAUGCAAUGAUACCAUAUUAAUUUACAAUAUAUCUGAUGCCAUAUUAAUUUACAAUAUAUCUGAUGCCAUAUUAAUUUACAAUAUAUCUGAUGCCAUAAUGUUACAAUACGACACCAAACUAAGUUACAAAAUAUCUUAUCACAGAAAAGCUUAUAUAAACAAGUCCGCCAUUAUGUUCUCAUAUACUUCAGGGGUGAUUUGUAGGCGUAGAGCUUUUCAAGCUCUUAUUGUUUAAAGUUGCAAGCCCUUUAACAAAAAUAAAACUUGAUCACUUCAUUUACUACUCAAAUAAAUCUGAAACCCUAAUUUCCCACUUUUGAAUACUGUAGAUAAUACUUGACACAAGCUUUACACAUAUUUAACUGAAGCACCUUCUAUUCAGAUUUAAAUUUUGCAGCAAACUUGCACAUGAGACUCUUUUACUCCCAUUGUUUCAAUAAAUUUAAAAUCAGCAACAACAAAAAAAAGCCCUGUAUAAUGAAAAAUUUCCACAUGAUCAGUUCAAAAUAAAAUCCUUACAUAAAAAAUGUAAAGGAAAUAACUUUCCUUCUCUCACAUACAACAAUGAUCAUGCAAUCUUAUAAGCCAGUUAAGAAAUUAUCAGUUUUAUACGAUAAUUGAUUGAUUGUUCUUUGGUUUACAUCUAGUGGUAAAUAUUUCAUACAGUUAAAGGAAAAAGAUGCUUUUUUUUACAUGAACCACAUACUGUAAUCCAAUGGAAGAAUAUUUUUGUCUGAAUAUAUAAAGAUGAAUGACUAAAGAUUUCCUCCAUUUUAAAAACUCUUACACCACAUGACAAUGUUAAAAUGUAAAAUGAACAAACAAUUAAUG